CUGGUACAGCUGGUUUGUAAGGAUUUUCAUUAUACAAAUGCCCACAUCCAUUUUCUUUGCGCAUGAAUGUAUGCACAAAAGUCAAACAUUGUGUGUCUGCUCUUAUAAAAAGGAGACGUUCACCUUAGUCUGACACCAAUCCUAUCUGGAACCAAGCUGGUGGCACAGACGUGAUCUCUCUUCUUCACCUGGUGAACGUGAACCUCAAGUUGAGUCCUGAUGCAAGAUACUGAGGGAGGGAGUCUUGUGGAGGGACAGAAAAUGACAAAAGGAUUUCCAGAUACAGAGCAAGAUGGGUUGGAAAAGUUUGACACAUGCAACAGAAAUGGAUAAAUAUUGUCUAAACUGGCAGCAUUGUUAUUAAUCUAAAACUGGAGAGUAGUUUCUUACAUUUGCUGAAGCUUUAUUUUGUGCUACUGUGAACACAAGCAGCACUGGUCUUUGUCGUCCUCCUUUGUUUGAACAAUUCUUACCUGUACGCUUUAGUUUAACAACAUGAAAUGUACCAACAUCAAGAGAUGUCAGAAGACUUGACAAUAGAGUAUCCACAAAAACCUUGGCAUUGAUUCUAUUUUCUGUUCAUCCUUGAUGUUGAAUAAGUAUUAAGUCAUAUUUUCUUUUGAUUAUUCAAAAUCAAUCUCGAAUGUCUUGUCCUGCGACAGCUAUGGCUGACAAAGACUGUGAUCAAGAUUUCUGCAACACCCUAAAGAAGUUCUUUGACAGCCGUGGCGGGAGCGUAAAAGUGUGGGAGCUCAAGGAGUGGUUGGCCGAAAAUUGCAAAGGCGAUAAGAACGAUGGUGAAGUCAGAAAGCUCCUUCCGUGCAUGGAGCAAAGAGCCGAUGAAGAUAUCACGCUUGAGGAGUUUCAGAAAUUCUGGGAAGAGAAGGAAAGCAAGGGAUAUGGCUUAAUAGAAUAUUUACUACAAAACCUUCAAGAAAGACCAUCAAAAUGUGUAAAGAAAAAAAAGAAGAAAGAAAUAGAGAGUACAGUGGCAGACACUGCCUACACCGACAACAGAAGCUACCUGUACCUCCACUGAAGCCUGUUUAUUUGAGUUUAAAAAUUGUUUUUGAAAGAUGUGUCCAUUCAAUAUUGUCUGAGAAUGAAUGGAAACCAUACCUUUGAUCUGGGCUUGUUUGUCUUUUUAUGCACACAUCAUACAGCUACACUGAUACGAUCUCUUACUCAGGUACUACCAUAGAUGUUGUAUUUCAUCUCCACGUUCUUCACUAAAAUAGUGAAACAUUUUCCAAAAUGUUG
rnacentral:lncRNA from 1 species